rnacentral:rRNA from 1 species
GAUGAACGCUGGCGGCGUGCUUAACACAUGCAAGUCGAACGAUGAAGCCCAGCUUGCUGGGUGGAUUAGUGGCGAACGGGCGAGUAACACGUGAGUAACCUGCCCUUAACUCUGGGAUAAGCCUGGGAAACUGGGUCUAAUACCGGAUAGGAGCGCCUACCGCAUGGUGGGUGUUGGAAAGAUUUAUCGGUUUUGGAUGGGCUCGCGGCCUAUCAGCUUGUUGGUGAGGUAAUGGCUCACCAAGGCGACGACGGGUAGCCGGCCUGAGAGGGUGACCGGCCACACUGGGACUGAGACACGGCCCAGACUCCUACGGGAGGCAGCAGUGGGGAAUAUUGCACAAUGGGCGAAAGCCUGAUGCAGCGACGCCGCGUGAGGGAUGACGGCCUUCGGGUUGUAAACCUCUUUCAGUAGGGAAGAAGCGAAAGUGACGGUACCUGCAGAAGAAGCACCGGCUAACUACGUG